rnacentral:piRNA from 1 species
UACUUGAUAAAACCCUUUCUAGGGAUCCUCCA